rnacentral:rRNA from 1 species
UACAGAGGUCCCAAGCGUUGUUCGGAUUCACUGGGCGUAAAGGGCGCGUAGGCGGCUCAUGAAGGCUGUGGUGAAAGUCCGGGGCUCAACCUCGGAUCGGCCGUGGCGACUCGUGGGCUGGAGCACUGUAGAGGCAGGUGGAAUUCCGGGUGUAGCGGUGGAAUGCGUAGAGAUCCGGAAGAACACCAGUGGCGAAGGCGGCCUGCUGGGCAGUGGCUGACGCUGAGGCGCGACAGCGUGGGGAGCAAACAGG